UACAGGGGGUGCAAACGUUGCUCGGAAUCAUUGGGCGUAAAGCGCACGUAGGCGGUCUGUUAUGUCGGAUGUGAAAGCCCUUGGCUUAACUGAGGAAGUGCAUCCGAAACUGGCAGGCUAGAGUACUAAAGAGGGUCGCGGAAUUCCCGGUGUAGAGGUGAAAUUCGUAGAGAUCGGAAGGAACGUCGAAUGGCGAAGGCGA
rnacentral:rRNA from 1 species